rnacentral:ncRNA from 2 species
AGCAUAAAAAAAGGGAGCUCGCAAACGGGCUGAGAGGAAGCUGUGCGCUUCGACCUGUGACCUGAUUUGGGUAAUGCCAACGUAGGGAGAUUAGCAUUGGUUUUC